ACAGGCCAUCAUUGCAGAACUCCCAGGAACAGAGAGACAGCUGACACUGACAGUUUCUUCACUGAAGGAGGAAACAGGGAGUGAGUGGAGUUGGCCUCUCUGAAGGAGACUUUGCAGCUGCCUGGAGACUGGGACCUUCCUUCAAUCAAUUCAUCUUAAGGAAGAGAUAGAGAUAGUGGUUAGCACUCCACUCAGGUGGACUGAAAGGAAUAUGAAUGUCAAAAUGGAAGCCCUUGGUGAUAGGAUUUUUCUUCCAUUUCUUCAAGCCCCAGUUCUUGAUAACAUCAUUGGUAUCACCAUGAGUAAUUUCAACCAUAAUGAGAUUGCAUCAAGUGGAGAACCUGAAAGAAAGGCAAAGAACUCAACUAAGAUCAUGUACAGAGAAAAUGGCGGAGUGGAAAGAAGAUUCAGUGUAUUGUAAAAAAAAGACCAGAGUUCAAAUUCUUACUACUACUUAACAACUAUAUGCAUGACCAUAAUAAAGUUGCUUAACCU
rnacentral:lncRNA from 1 species